GACGAACGCUGGCGGCGUGCCUAACACAUGCAAGUCGAGCGGUAAGGCUCCUUCGGGAUUAUACGAGCGGCGUACGGGUGAGUAACACGUGCGUAAUCCGCCCUUCACUUCGUGAUAACCACCGUAACCGGUGGCUAAUACCGAAUACGACCAGUCUUCGCUUGAGUUGCUGGUGGAAAGUCUUUUCGGUUAAGGAUGUGCUCGCUGCCUAUCAGCUUGUUGGUGUUGUAAUGGCCUACCAAGGCCUCGACGGGUAGGCGGCCUGAGAGGGUGACCAGCGAAACUGGGACUAAGACACGGCAGAGACGCGUAGGGGAGGAAGCAGGGGGGAAGAUGGGAGAAUGGGCGAAAGCCGGAUCCAGCGACGACGAGGGAGGGAGGACGGCAGUCGGGUUGUAAAGCUAUUUAAGUACCGAAGAAGCGAACUGUCGGGUGGUGACGGUAGGUAAAGAAGAAGGACCGGCCAACUACGUG
rnacentral:rRNA from 1 species